rnacentral:antisense_RNA from 1 species
CUUGAGCGAGCCCAGCAGCAGCGGCCGUUCCUCGGGCCGGUCCUGCCCGUACGUGGCGAGCAGGGCCUGGGCCUC